ACCGGAAUCGAACCUGGGACCCUGGAGUCCGCAGGCCGACGCUCUAUCCACUGAGCCAAACCGGUUAGGGCUCCAAUGGAUUUUUAAGUGCUGUAAUAUCACUAAUGGUACAAAUAUUAAUCUGUUUCCUGCCAUGUUUAAGAUAUUAUGACACCAGUGUCUUGUGCCAUCAGCUCAUAUUGCAUUUUUGGAGUUAGUUUGUGAUUCAGGGUGUUCUCUAUAGAAUGAGUACUGAAGUGACAAUGUUUUAUCUAAUGUUUUUAGGGGCAUAUGUGGGAGAGUUGGGCUGCCAACGUGUCUGACAGUUUGUGCAAUUUGUGUAGUUCUUGGCUUAAUUGCCUUUCUUUUAAAAAAAAAGGGAGAACCAGAGUUCUGAUUGGUGCUGUGUAAUUUUAAGACUCAAGUAGAGGUUAUGCUUGGUAGGACGGUGACAAUGUAGGCAUGACGUCCGCUUGACAACUAACAGAAGAUUAACUGCAUAAGCUCUUUUAUGGACAUUUUAAUGUUUCUGUGCUUCUCCUGGAUACAAGAAGGCCCAAGUUACAUAGGAAAAGAGAGUCCAUUGAUUUUCUAUCUCUUUGGCAAGUGGGUCCAAACUGUAACAAGGUGAAUUCCAGAUCAAUCAGCGUCCAAGAUUUUAAGUCACUGAAACAAUCCAACAGCAGAACCAUCUCUUUGGCAAAGUUGUAGUCUAGCAGAGCUCUGUGAUUAACAUUCCAACCUGGCCUGGAAGCUAAUGGUUUAACUUUGAGGUUAAAACACCCCAUCAGUCUUUGAAUAGGGCUUCAAAUCGGAGGGAUGUGUGUAAAGAUGAAAGUUGUCCCCUUUCAAAGAAAAGUGUUUCCUCUUUUGAAGCUAUGUUUAAAGGUAGUUACAUUUUGAUAUGCACCAAUAGCCUCUGCUAUUAAUACUCAUUAUGGUUCUAAUUCUCACCCAUUUCUUUAAAUAAGUCUGUUGAUGUUUUCAAAUAGAUGCUUUCCUGCUUUUGCACAUUAGACAUAACGAUUAAAAAAAAGUCUUUGUGACCAACUGGAAUUACUCAAUUCUCCAUUGACUUUAAACAAUAUUUUUGUUUCUUCCUGUUCACUAAGUAUUUAUAAAUCAAAAAUUCAAAUACAUUUAGUGAAAAUGAGUUAACGAAGACUCCAGUGAUCAUUUUGAUGCUGAAGAUUUGGGGAUUCAUCAGGCCUGGAGUGGAUCUUGGAAAAUUGUCUCAUCCUCCCUGAUCUCUGAACAGUGUUGUUUCUCCUUCAGUCCUGCUCUGCACAGUAUGGUAGCUACCGGCCACAUGUGGCGGUUGAGCACUUGAAACAUGGCUGGUGACACAUGUUGGAAGGAUGCUGAGUGUGGGGAGCACUCACACAUGCUGCAGUUCUAUUUAGGGGUCUCCUAAUACUGGGCUGCCCGGAGCUCUGGCUUUUUAAUAUGAUCAUCCAGUCACCAUGUUGUCAAUUGUGGUUCAAAUAUAUAUUGGUGGGAUUUACCUUUUCUGCUUUAGUACCCAUAAACUUUCAUUUCAUCCUGUUCUGCAGAUGAUCAAGGUCAUUGGCACAUUUGAACAUGAUUCCUUUCCUACCCACCAGAGCUCCUUACAUACUAAAUUAAGAGAAUUGAUUUUUUUAAGAUUACUAUUUUAAUCUGAUUUUCCCUACUUUUUCAGAUGCAACAUCACAAACUGUUAGAGUUGUAGAGGAAGUGACUCUCAUUUUUGGGACUUAGUAGACUUUAUGAUUAAAAUAAUAUUUUUAUAAGUUUAACAUUAUUCUGAAAAUUUUCAAUCCCUGAACCUUUCAUUCCUUUAUAUUAUCAAUGUUUCAACAUUAACUCAGCUAGGCCAAUUAUUACUAUUUAAAGAUUUUAAGGUACUAGUUAUCCACUUACGGAAUAAUUUGGCAGGUAGUUUAUUUAAAGUUAUAUAUUUUAUGCCUUUGCUGCCUAUUAUUAUUUUUAAUAUGUAUGAUACCUAAGUAAAGUGCAUACAUAUAAUUGACAUAUCUUAAUCUCGUUAGACAUUUCUUGAUCAAAUGCACAGGUAGAUAGAUAAAUAGACAGAAAACACCAAACAAAUAUUAAACAGACAAGCUUUACACUCUUCUCUCAGGGAUGCGGGAUUUCCUCCAGGUUGUUUCCCCUUCUCAGACCAAUUAUUUACAUAUUUUUUCUUUAUUUGUCAAGCACUUAUUGUGAAACCCUAUUCCUGCUUCUCAUUGUUGAUAGUUUUAUCCUUGGUACACCUUCUGUUAGCUUGAGUUACUUCAGAAAGUUGAACUUGAAAUGUAAUAAAAAGGACACAUCAGCAGUUA